rnacentral:rRNA from 1 species
AGAGUUUGAUCAUGGCUCAGAGCGAACGUUAGCGGCGCGCCUAACUCAUGCAAGUCGCACGAGAAAGGGCUUCGGCCCCGGUAAAGUGGCGCACGGGUGCGUAACACGUAGGCAAUCUUCCCUCGGGCGGGGGAUAACGUUUCGAAAGAGACGCUAAUACCGCAUAAGACCACGGUCACCUCGGUGAUCGCGGUCAAAGCUGGCCUCUUCAUGAAAGCUAGCACCUGAGGACGAGCCUGCGGCCCAUCAGCUAGUUGGUAGGGUAAUGGCCUACCAAGGCGAAGACGGGUAGCUGGUCUGAGAGGAUGAUCAGCCACACUGGAACUGAAACACGGUCCAGACUCCUACGGGAGGCAGCAGUGGGGAAUAUUGGACAAUGGGCGCAAGCCUGAUCCAGCGACGCCGCGUGAGUGAUGAAGGCCUUCGGGUUGUAAAGCUCUGUUGAGGGAGAAGAAAACGGCUGGCGUGAAUAACUCCAGUCCUUGACGGUAUCCCUUUAGAAAGCACCGGCUAACUCUGUGCCAGCAGCCGCGGUAAGACAGAGGGUGCAAACGUUGCUCGGAAUUACUGGGCGUAAAGCGCGUGUAGGCCGGCCCUCAAGUCGGACGUGAAAUCCCUGAGCUCAACUCAGGAACUGCAUCCGAAACUGAGGGUCUAGAGUAGUGGAGAGGGAAGCAGAAUUCCUGGUGUAGAGGUGAAAUUCGUAGAUAUCAGGAGGAACACCGGUGGCGAAGGCGGCUUCCUGGCCAUUCACUGACGCUGAGACGCGAAAGCGUGGGGAGCAAACAGGAUUAGAUACCCNNGUAGUCC